GAUGAACGCUGGCGGCGUGCCUAAUACAUGCAAGUCGAGCGAACGGACGAGAAGCUUGCUUCUCUGUUGUUAGCGGCGGACGGGUGAGUCACACGUGGCUAACCUACCUAUAAGACUGGGAUCACUUCGGGAAACCGGAGCUCAUACCGGAUAAUAUUUUGAACCGCAUGGUUCAAAAGUGAAAGAUGGUCUUGCUGUCACUUAUAGAUGGAUCCGCGCUGCAUUAGCUAGUUGGUAAGGUAACGGCUUACCAAGGCAACGAUGCAUAGCCGACCUGAGAGCGUGAUCGGCCACACUGGAACUGAGAGGCGGUCCAGACUCCUACGGGAGGCAGCAGUAGGGAAUCUUCCGCAAUGGGCGAAAUCCUGACGGAGCAACGCCGCGUGAGUGAUGAAGGUCUUCGGAUCGUAAAACUCUGUUAUUAGGGAAGAACAUAUGUGUAAGUAACUGUGCACAUCUUGACGGUACCUAAUCAGAAAGCCACGGCUAACUACGUG
rnacentral:rRNA from 1 species